UAUUCUGCCCCACGGGGAAGGAUGAGAAGCUUCGACUAAGGUUCGACUCGAGCGAAGCGAGAGAACGUUGCCGCAGGCAACGGCCCGAAGGGCGAGGCGCGUUAGCGCCGAGUUAUCCUUCCCCCACCACCA
rnacentral:sRNA from 1 species